GAAAGGAGAUGAAGAAGAAGGAGAAAGGAGAAGAAAAAAUAAGAAGAAGAAGGAAAAGAAGAAGGAAAAGGAAGGGAAGGAGAAGAACCAAGAAGAAGAAGAAGAAGAAAAAUAGGAGAGGAAGAGAAGAAUAAGAGGAAAAAAGAAAAUAAGAAGAAGAAGAAGAAGAAGAAGAAGAAGAAGAAGAAGAAGAAGAGAAGAAGAAAACAAGAAGAAGGAGAAGAAGAAUAAGAGGAAAAAGAAAAAAUAAAAUAAGAAGAAGAAGAAGAAGAAUAAGAAGAAUAAGAAGAAGAAGAAGAAGAAGAAGAAGAAGAAGAGAAGAAAACAAGAAGAAGGAGAAGAAGAAUAAGAGGAAAAAAUAAAAAAUAAAAUAAGAAGAAGAAGAAGAAGAAGAAUAAAUUAGUAGAUUU
rnacentral:lncRNA from 1 species